CGCUGAGCCGGAUCCCGGCACCCCGGCCCGGCCGGCGCGGCGGCAGUUCCCGGAAGGGCUGCUUUCCCCGCUGCACCGCCCGCCGGUGCCCGCCCAGCGCCGGGAAGGGGAAUAGUGGGGCCAGGCCAUGCCAGAAAUGCUUGCCUAGGUAAGACCAGGUGCUGCAGUGUACUUCUCAUGAUUUUGGCAUUGCACAAGGUGAAGUUUAACAGCAGUCACCAGAGGCUUUCAGAAGGACUGAUACAUAUACGUACACAAAAAUACAUAUAUUGUGUGUGUGUCUGCAUGUAAAUACAUAUAUUACUCUUGAAUAAUGUGUGUCAUUCCUUUGAUACUGAAGUGUUGACAUGUGGUAUGUGUUCCUAUUAACUGAAGCGUUGACAUGUGAUACGUGCUCAUGUUAAUUCACAGUCUGCUAGCCCACAGGCAUGGGUGUUAUAAAAUCACUUGAGUGCCAAAUGGGACUUAAACUUUUGUUUUAUGUAAGAAGUACAAUAAUUGCAGAAUGGAAGGCUAUUGGUGUCCAUACUAUCAGCUAUCUCUUGGUUGUCACCAGUGACAUGUAAAGCUUUAGCACUGAAAACAUUUGAAAGAUGUUAAUUGCCCACAGUGUUUGUUAUUCCAAAGCUAUUCCUAUGCUGAUUUUGUUUUUCACUAUAAAAACUGUGCAUAAACUGUGAUACAGAUGUUAACAGGUAUAGCAUGUCUGACUUUUUAAAAUUAGACUAAAACUUAAUUUCUGUAAGUGUAUCUAAAUAGACAUCAUUAUGUUAAAAGUGAAAAUCUGAAAGCUUUAGUGUAAUAAAUAUCUCUUAGCAUAUCCUACAAGAUUGUGUGGGUUACUGCAACAGCCCUCUCUUGCACUGCUUUCACUUACAGUACAAAACGUCAGUCUCAGUCAUGCUGUGGAUUGUGAGUGCUCCAUACUGAUUAGAAUUUAGGAUGUUGUUUGCCAGAGAUCAGUAGAAAUCCCUUUAGUUUGUGAGAGCUGUAGCAAAAAUAUCAUGCUUUUCCCUAGUGGUUAACUUCCUCUGACUGAGCUGUUUAAAUUCUUGGUUUUAUUUUAAAAUGUACUGGGUACUGACUGGUACUGUAAGAGAUGGGUUUAAGAAAAUAAUUCAAUGAUAAUACUUUGCAUGAGUCAUUAAUCGUGAGUCAUGAUCAGCAGGCAGUGGUGUCCAAUUUGUUUUCUAAUCCUGCAGUUGCUGCUGCUCUUUAUUACCAUAGUGAUAAUAUUAAAGAGCUGUUAAUGCAUAUAACCACGCAGCUGAAAAUGACAGACACUUUUUUCAGUGGAAUAAAAUUUUCGUAUCUUAA